AUUCCUAAGUCAAGUCUUUGCUGUUACCAUCAAUAACUGCUAACUCAGAGGAUGCAACCUUAGUAAUUCAUUUCCUUAAUGGCCAGUUUCACAAAGAGGCUGCAGGAAGCUGCUUCCAGCAGUCUGAGUCCUGAGGAGGAGACGAUAACAGUGGGAGAAGCACCUGGUAACAGCGGCACUUCAUCCAGGAAGAAAACAGGAUCUAAAAUAUAAACAACAUCCUUACAACACAAAAUAUGAGCGUCCAUCAUGGACCAACCAAUAACUUCAAUAAAAGUGCUGUAUCCCCUGGCAGAUGAUGAGUAUCUUCAAGAUGGUGCCCAAAGGAGAGAGAGAAUAAACUUGAACAUUCUGACUUUGAAGAACAUGACCAGGCUAGCCCAGGAGAAAGAUGGAGCACAUAUGGAGCAGAGCUGCCCCAGCCAACCUGCUCUUGAGACCCCAGCUUAGAGCAUCCAACUCCCAGCUAACACCCAGAAGCAUGAGUGACUCCAUUUAAGGUCAAUAAAACCAUCUAGCCGAGUCCAGUGAGAUAAGCCAGCCCUUGGUUGAUCACAGAUGCAUGAGCUAAAUAAAUGCUUAUUGUUGUAUGCCACUAUUUGGGUUUUUGUUUGUUGUGCAGCAUUACUGUGGAUGUGGUUAAUGUAUACACCCUCCUAUAUCUUUCUCUUUGGCAGCUACAGAGGGGGUUCCUCUGAGCACAGUUUAAAAAAAUCCAUAUCUGUAAAUUCUCAGUCAUAACAUUAGUUUUUAAACAGAUUUAGUUGUCAAGAAAGACUUUGAAAAGUAGCGGUAUCAAAACAUCAUAUUGUACUCCAUAAAUGUGUAUGAUUAUUGUCAAUUAAAACCAAAAUAAAACUUUCUUAAAAAAUAAUGGGAACAUAAAACACCCG
rnacentral:lncRNA from 1 species